AAUAUUCAUGUGACCAAAAUAAUAAUUAUAGCACUCAUAUUAGUGCACUCACAUAUAUAUAAUAUUCCUCUUCGUAGGAAGAAAAAUAAUUUAAAAAAAAAUUAUGCUCGGAAAAAUUUUCAUAAACCGGCAUCAUUCGAUUUCUCGAUAAAAAUAAACCAUACUUGCUUUGGAAACUUAAACAAAAUUCCAAAUGCUAAGGUCUCAAAUAAAAAUCAUAACAACUUGGUCAUAAUGACACACGUCACAAAAUCACAUAAUCACUCAGUCACGUAAAUUCACAUAACAUCACAUCAAAACAGUCGGCAGACUCAGAUAAGUUAGACGUUUCUCUAACCGACUCUAUUUAUCAAAGAUUCUCACUCUUUCUUCCUCGACUCUAUUUCCAACUCAUUAUUCCUAUUUUCUUAAUAGGACAGUCAGUCUCUGAUAAUUCGGUAUCCGGUAAUUCUAUUCCCGGUAGUUGGAAACAAAAGAAAACACUAGCCAAGUCAAUCAGCAUCUCCACAUCAAUCAAUACCAAAUCUCAUAGUCUGACUCUACUAUCGGAGUACACACGCGUAUCUCAGGGAAAAGACAAUCUAUCAAAUCCACGCAUAAAAAAAAGUAGUGGCUGGGUCCAACCAUAGCCGACCGUCAUCUCUGGAGUCUCCUCAUCGGGGUCCUCCUCAUCACUAGUCGGAGCGUGCCGGCCGAGAUCCUCCCUCCUGGGCGUCUCGGGACGGUGAAUAUAGAAUCGAGUGCAUGUACGUCUGAAAGGCCAAAGUGCCUGGCUCAGGCAACGGGGCAACCCUCGGAUAUGGAUCGAAGGGAACAUACUGCGUCUCAGACUCAGUAGAAACAAUCGGUUGUGCCGACUCAACGGGUGGCAAUGGCAAAGGUGCCAUCGCCGGUGUCAAAUCCCAAGGCGGUAAAUCAGCGCUGGGAGAAGGAAUAAGUGAUAGAAACGCAAACGGGUCAUGCUCUAUCACAGGAGAGUACGUCUCGAAGACCAUCGGCUCAGAAACAUCAGACUCAAGAGAAACUGGAAUCGGAUCAGCUGGGGGUAGAGGUGCCAUCGGAAACGGCUCCUCGGGAAGUGGAGGCACAACAACUAGCUCCCCUCCCUGGGCUGGUCCCUCAUACUCUCCAUACGGCGGUGAAGGUGGAUCGCCAUAAGCAAAGUAACGGUGGCUCAGCGUCGCGAUGAAGCCACUAAGGUCUCCGUACCUGAUGCCCUCCAACCAGGUAGUAUCUACGUACUGGGGCACUAAAGAUGUCGCCCAGUCUCGCCACAAAGGUGGCAGUAGUGGAAUCAAAAGCGUAAUGGCCUCCGCGCCAUCGAUCCCAUAGGGAAUAGCCCUCCUCCAUCGUCGGUGAUAGUGUGCCAGAAGUUCACCCAAGGUGUCAUCCUCGUCCGGGAUAUACUCCCUGAACCAUCGCUGCAUCGCUGUCUCAAUAUGACUCGGCAUCCUGUAAUAUAAAAUAUCAUAUCCAUUAGAAAAUGGAUACGAAACUUACUUGGUACAUCUCAAUCAACAACAUACUCGUCCUCGUUUGAUAUGGUGGGGCAUCAGCUAUACUAGCCUCAACAUUUCUCCUCAUAUUCCACAUCAACUGCCUCAUAUCAGAUUCCAUCCUCUCAAACAAUUCCGUCAUCAAAACAAUUCAUAACUCAUUAGUGAAACAAACUCAACUUUCAAUCAAGAAAGCGACAAGAAACAACAUCAACCUCUUACCUCGUUUAAGCCGGAGGAGAUGGGGUGCUGGGGUUUCGUUUCAAACUAACUCUCUCAAAUUAGUCUAAGAAUUCAAAUUAGACUAGUACUCAAUUUUAAAAGAGUAGAAGCAACCAAGGGUUCAACUUAGUCAAGCAAUAGACUCAGAGCAGAUGACCUGCUCUGAUACCACCCUGUCGCAGCCCGCAGACCCGACACUAGUAAUAGUGGGGUACGAGUAUCGAUACGACUAUUUUUAAAGAAUAAAAGAUAAGAAGAACUAGGUGAACGUCAUGCGGAAGCUCACGUAAAAGCAUGCUAAGGAAAAACUUCAUAAAAUUAGCCCAAGGGUAAAAUCGUCAACAUUGUCAUAACUUUUUAAUUAUUAGGAAUUUCACGAACAAAAACAAAACGCGUAUAGUUCAUUUUUCAUAAGGAAGCAUAAUUUGCAGAGUAUCGCAGCAAAAGGCGAACCGAUUAUAUGUAUGAAGACACAUAACCGUGAGUGUAUUGCUUGAUCUCAAAAGAAACUAAGUAAUUCAAACAUCAAGACUCUAUUAUCAUAGAGGCAAAAUAGUAAUUUAAUUUACAUCAUUUGAAACUCUCCCCCAUCAGCACCAGUCCAAUCUCACUCCCAGCUUAGCCUGCACAUUUAGAAAUACAUGCAGGGCGUGAGUACAUAAUACUCAGUGGGCAAAUGCCGAAAAACAAGAAAGGUGCUCUUAGAGCUAUAGGUUUGAAGCUUGCCACAUCUCAGCAACACACAGAAAUAAAUUAGCAUUUAAAAGAAUCUGUGCAUGCAGUUUUCAUAAUCAACAUCAUAAAUAAGUGUCUGCAGACAAAGUAUACGUCAUGUAUGUACCGCAUCUACAACUCAUCAUCAUAAUUAAGGUACUGAGAAGUAGGCCUCCCUCUCAAGUACCGUGACCGGCCGACCCGAAGACGGCUCACAGUCACCUCUGUGCACAAAAUCCCGCUUGUGGCAGGACCGAAUUCGUCUCAUCAGUAGAGGGUAACACACAAGCUCAACAUCAAAAAUUGGCAAGUCAAACAGUUCUCAAAUAUCAUUUAUCUCAAAACAUUUGUUAAUCUCAUAACAUCAUUAUAUCAUUAAAUCAUUUUAGAAAGCUCGGAUAAUAUUUGUAUACUCAAAAUAUUGCCCACCUGAAGACCUUACUCAAAAACUCCCGUCAAAGCGGAGUUACUUACUUCCUUGCUCUGCUCGUGUCUUCAGGGAUCAUCGUCAUCAUCGAAGGUUCAUGUCAUAAAAUGAAUCCCGAUUAGAAACUUAACGACAAAAACUCAUGCCUCAACUCAUGCUCUAUAUUAUAUUCUAUCGCUUAAUCAACUCUACAUAAACUCUUUACUCAUUUCAAAUCCUUAAGUCCAAGGAUAGGGUUCAAGAAAAUCAUGGUUCUAGGUCUCGAUUCAUCUCUCAUAUAAGACUCGUCUAAUCUCAUUCAAACACUUAGGCAACACAAUCACAUAAGGCACAUAAGAAAAUACCAUCAAACAUCAUCAAGACAUGUUCUGUUUUCCCACAGACUCGACUUCAAAAUUUAACACGUUCUGACUCCGACAUCCCCUGGACUCCAGACUCAUACCAAAAGAAAGGUAUUUGAGUCUAGUUUCAUUUAAAAAAAAGUAGAGUCAUAAACUCCAAAUGGUUUGGGAGAUAUGGCGUUUUUACCAAGGUCUACCAUAUUCGGCAGUUUUGAGCAAUCGGAAACAUUGAUUUUUUAAAAAUAGUAAACGUUGUCAAACUGCGCUCAAAUUUGGUGGAUAUCUAGCCCAUACAGUAAGGUUGAUACCAUAAAAAUUUGGAAAGCUAGAUCACACAGGAAGUUACUGAAAUGAAUGACUUUGUCCCCUGUUCUCUGAAAUUCCCGGUAGAAAUGUGCAGAUUUGGUUUUGCAUUUUAUAAAAAUAGUAAAUCAAGUCCAAAUGACUUGAAAUUUUACAGAGGUGCUCAAGACUCAUGUAGGGACAUGCUGUAAAAUUUUCAAAGCCAUUAGACAUCGAAAACGCGUCGAUCACAGUAGGUCAGUAGCCUACGAAAAAUCACCAAAACUCAUCUCAAACUCUUAAAUGCUCAAUUCAACAUUCCUUCAAAGAAAACCAAUCAAAGCUCAUUUUAAACACAUAUAACACUCAAAAACAUUCAAAAAUAUUUAAAAUACUCAUCAUACUUAAAUUAACUCUCCUCUUUUACAUCUUAACUCAAAUCUCAAGGAAAACGUUUCUACAACGUAUCAAGUAAAUCCCCUUCUCAAUUUCAUGCUUAAAAACACUCAAUCAUUCAAAAUGACUUCAUACAUCAUGUAACUCAUUUUACACAUAUAUUUCCCUUUUUAUCAUGUAAACUAACUCUAGUGAAAAACUCAUAUAUCAACAUAAAAUUCUCAACAAAAGCAUGACAACUUUCACAUAAUGGUCAUAAGCAAAAUAGACCUCAUGUUAUCAAUUGUCGACUUCUCAAGAUAUGAAAACUCAAAAAUUCUCAUAAACUAACUCAAGUCAAAAUUUUACUUAGCUUAGAAAAGACUUAAUCAAACAUAUUAAAACACUACUAUCAUGCUCAAAAACAUAUAUCUUAAGCCAAAACACUUAAUAGACACAUAGACAAGAAAGUCCUAAUUUUUAUUAAACUAAACUCUUUGAAAUUUUAUAAACUCACAUGGAUCUUUAAUCUCAUCAUAUAUCUAUCAAUUUUAGCCAUUUAAUCUCACAUCAAAACCAUCAAUUCACAAAUAAGGGCAUAUAUACACAUAUCCCUAAUUCUAGUAAACUAACUCACAUCAAAACUCCAAUUGACAUCAUAUACUCAAAUUACUCCAUCAAUCAUCAUCAUAUACACCUCAUAGACUCAUUUACAUCAUCAAUUUAUCUAUUAACUCUUUGACUCAAAAGUUACCAUUUUUGGGUAAACUAACUCCCAUCAAAGUUUCACAUCUCAAAGCAUAUAUUUCACACAUACAUCAAUCAUCAAUACACAUCACAUAAAUCACUUUUCUCACCUCAAUUCAAGGAAAGAAGAAGAAAAAUUUUUGAAGGGUAAGAUACCCAAAUUUUCGAAAAUUAGAAGAAAAAGGGAGGGGGUGAUUUCUUGCUUCAAUCCUUCAAAUAAACUCAUAUACAAACUCAUACAAAUUAUAUCUAUGAAUAUGGAGAUCACUUACCCAAGUUUUCACCAAUUAUCCAAACUUUCUCUCACUAUUCUUGAAGCCUACCUUCAAGGAUUCUCUUGAAUUUAAGUUGAUAGGAUGUGUUUAUGGAGGAUUUAAGUAGUGAUUUAUGUGUUUGGCAUACUUGGGUGAAGCUUCGAAGGUUUCAUCAAUGGCUAACAAUGGAGGAAAGUAGAGAGAUGAAGGGAGGGAGAGAGAGCUCGAAAAUUAGGGAAGAAGGAGAGAGAGGAAUUCUUGCAAGAUAUGAAAUGGAUUUGGCUAAUCUUUGGAAAGAUUUGUGAAUCUAAGAGAAUAUUUGGCAUUAAUGCCUUGAUCUCUCUCUCUCUAAAUCUCUACACUCUCUUAAUCUCUACUCUCUAAAUCUCUACUCUCUCAAUUCUAUACUUAGCAAAAUUUAGGCAUAUAACAUAUGGUAUGGGAAAUUAAAAUAAAGUGUGAGAAAGGUGAUCAAAUAAAAUCACAAAGAUUAUGGAAGAGUCACUCAUUAAUAAAAUACCACAUCAUAAUUAUUCAUGUGACCAAAAUAAUAAUUAUAGCACUCAUAUUAGUGCACUCACAUAUAUAUAAUAUUCCUCUUCGUAGGAAGAAAAAUAAUUUAAAAAUAUUAUGCUCGGAAAAAUUUUCAUAACCGGCAUCAUUCGAUUUCUUGAUAAAAAUAAACUGCACUUGCUUUGUAAACUUAAUAAAAAUUCCAAGUGCUAAGGUUUCAAAUAAAAAUCAUAAUCACUUGGUCAUAAUGACACACGUCACAAAAUCACAUAAUCACUCAGUCACGUAAAUUCUCAUAACAUCACAUCAAAGCAGUCGGCAGGCUCAAAUAAGCUAGACGUUUCUCUAACCGACUCUAUUUAUCGAAGAUUCUCG
rnacentral:lncRNA from 1 species